UACUAGUCAGGUGCUCUAACCACUGAGCUAUCCAGGUCGAUAUCCACGGUCCGUGUAGCCCUAACUACUAAAUUCCUCCCUUUAAUUUGUUUUUGCCGUCGAAGACACACAACCCAGAUUCAUUUCACCCCUGGCAGGACGAGUAGUCACGGCACCAACUGGUAAAAUCUUGCACAGAGGUCCCUAGGUUCAAUUCCCGAUCCAGCCACAAAUUUUCUCCGUGUAUGUCUAUCUGAGACUGAGUUGGAAAAUUACGGUAUCUUCAUAGUGACAAACUAAUGAAAAUAUUGAUCAAAUUCGACUGGUCAAGGACUGUUAAUAUAAAUAAAUUUGAAACAUUGGUCAUUGUAAUGAUUGGUUUCAUGUUAUACUAAGCUUGUGUUUCAAGACAAGGCUGUCUUUGUUGGUGAUGAUACUGAUGUAUAUAUUUAGAAACAAGUAAUGCUUUGAUUUUGAUUACAGGUGUGGUCUUUAAAAAAAUUAAUGCAUGGCAAGGUUGAUAGUGAGACUAAUAAAUUCUUUCAGCAGAAUUCAGCUAGACACAAAAAAAAAAAGACAAUCACUACAGCCUUCCAAGAAGAUGGACUGCCUCACAAUAGUUUCCUUGAGGACUGUCUUGAAAUAUCCAGAGUUUAAGAUUCAAGAAACGGACUCUAUCUGGAAAAGGAAAACAAUAUCAAAGCUCCUCUGUGAGAAGUUGGCCAAGGAAAGCAUUCAGAAGAAAGUGGAGAUUCAUUGUUUUUACCAGAUCCAGCAGAUCACAGAAAGCAUCUAGUAGGGGAGUUUCCAGGAUUAAGCCAGCCAGUAGAUGAGACUAUUAUAUCAAAAAUACAUUUACUUGUACACGAGGGCACACAAAGCGUUGAUGAAACACAAAGACAUUUCCGUCUGUUUGUAAAGGAUACUAUUUCACCAGGGAACACCAUCUCAGAAUUUAACAGAUGCUUUUACCCCGCCAAUAAGGAUGUAAGAAAUCACAUUUACAGGGCACCGAGAUUUUGCCAGGUAGUUUAGAACUGUGUGCAUUGGUUUUGGAAGAAUUUGGGCUGUUUAGGCUAAAAUCCAUUAUGAUUGGACAGAAUAUGAACACACACAUCCAAUACUUCAAAGAUAUUAUGUUUGUGGAGGCAGAGAUUUUGAUUGCAUCCACUGUUUAGAAUACAUCCUUAAGGGAAGCAGACUGCCGCCUUUACCCAAUGAUAUAAUGAUUAAUCAUAACUAUAUCUAUUGUACCAAAUAGAAAGAGCAGUGAUUCAGGUCAUUUUCAAAUCCACUGGCAUACAUUGUACUAUACAUGCAACCUUUUCAAACUUUACAUUUAAGAUUUUAUAAAGGAAAUAUCUUAAUGUUUCACAUGUUUACCUUUCACUGUGCUAUGUAAUUCAUUAUACCUGCCAUUAUGCCAGUCUUCCUGAACAUAAUUUGUUUUCUGCAAUUUCAUUGGCCAAGAGGCUUAAUCCUGGGUUAUCAGAUUGAGCAUUUAUAUUUAGUAUCCCAUUGAUUUUGUCAGCCCUAUAUAAGGAGCUGACUCAGAUUUACUCACUCUGCUAGGUUAAAGAACUCUAAGGUUUGUACUUUUCACAUGAAUUUCGUGUUCGCCUCUUAUCUUUUACAUAGAGUAGGAAAUGAACAUAACAUUGAGUUAGGGAACUAUUUAGAUUUUACAUUAUAAUAUGUAAAUACCUUAGCAGAGUCAAUUUACUUGGUUCAGGGUAGUAUCAGAUAUUACUUUUUCAGAGUUUAAGUGUUUAGGCUAUCUCAAUGUUUCUAUAGUUAGCCUUGUCCUAUGUUACUUUUAGAUGUAUGGAAGCCUUUUAGUGUUAUAACACUAUAUUUAUGCC